GAGCAAGAGCAUCUAUUGUAAAAACAAAUGGUGCAUCUUGCCUUGAAGGUUGGCAAAAAGAACUUAACUGGCGAUUCUCCGUGCCUAUCAAGUUGAUUUAAUAGUUUUGAUGACGGCCUCGAACAAGUCGCUACAGC